UAUUUCCCCACACUGAAUGCCUUUGUCUUUUACGUGGCUCGUAUUUUCACCAUCCAGGUGAUGAUGAUGAUGAGGUUGUCAUAUUCAGAGAAGAUAAUGACGACGACGACGAGGGAUACAUAUUCGCUGACCAAUAUGACGAGACCGACGAGGACAUCGAGAUCGAUGGUACUCAAGAUGAAUCUACUGCCACUGAUGUGCCUGACCCGUACGACAAGGUGUACAGUAACCUCCCUGAAGAAACACAUAUGCUGAAGCUUGUUCCUGACUGCGGUUAUUGCACCGCGAAGAAGUUUGAGUAUGAGCCACCUGGGUUUUGCUGUCGUGGUGGGAAGGUUGAGCUAGCACCACUGGAGACCCCUCCCAGCUCAGGAGGUUGUGGGAUAGUGCAG
rnacentral:misc_RNA from 1 species